rnacentral:rRNA from 1 species
AGCAAGGAGUUUUCCGCAAUGGGCGAAAGCCUGACGGAGCAACGCCGCGUGGGGGAUGACGCCCUUCGGGGUGUAAACCCCUUUUCUUGGGGACGAAGCAGUGACGGUACCCGAGGAAGAAGGCCCGGCUAACUACGUGCCAGCAGCCGCGGUAAUACGUAGGGGCCGAGCGUUGUCCGGAGUUACUGGGCGUAAAGCGCGCGCAGGCGGCUCGUCAAGCCUGACGUGAAAGCCCCCGGCUCAACCGGGGAGGGUCGUCGGGGACUGGCGAGCUUGAGGUCGGCAGGGGCUGGUGGAACUCCCGGUGUAGUGGUGAAAUGCGUAGAGAUCGGGAAGAACACCCGUGGCGAAGGCGGCCAGCUGGGCCGGACCUGACGCUGAGGCGCGAAGGCGUGGGGAGCGAA